rnacentral:rRNA from 1 species
UCUUUAAUGGAGAGUUUGAUCCUGGCUCAGGACGAACGCUGGCGGCGUGCCUAAUACAUGCAAGUCGAGCGGGGUUAGUUAGAAGCUUGCUUCUAACUAACCUAGCGGCGGACGGGUGAGUAACACGUAGGCAACCUGCCCAC